AGUGAACGCUGGCGGCAUGCCUAAUACAUGCAAGUCGAACGGCAGCACAGUAAGAGCUUGCCCUUACGGGUGGCGAGUGGCGGACGGGUGAGGCAUACAUCGGAAUCUACUUUUUCUUGGGGGAUAUCGUAGGGCAACUUACGCUAAUACCGCAUAUGAUCUACGGGUUAAAUCAGGGGUUCUUCGGACCUUGCCCGAUUCAUUUAGCUGGUGCCGGAUUAGCUAGUUGGCGUGGUAAAGGCCCACCAAGGCGACGAUGCGUAGCUGGUCUGAGAGGAUGAUCGGCCACACUGGAACUGAGACACGGUCCAGACUCCUACGGGAGGCAGCAGUAGGGAAUAUUGCGCAAUGGGCGAAAGCCUGAUGGAGCCAUGCCGCGUGAGUGAAGAAGGCCUUCGGAUUGUAAAACUCUUUUAUUAGGGAAGAAAAGCAGCGGAUUAAUACCCGGAUGUUCUGACGGUACCCAAAGAGAAAGCACCGGCUAACUUCGUG
rnacentral:rRNA from 1 species